CUGGCUGAUGGAAACAGUAGCUUAUUGAUGUGGAACCGUUGUAAAAUUGAACUGCUUCAUUUGUCUACAAAGUAAAUAAACAUGCCCUCCACCUUCUGUUCAACUUGACAUGUAUGUGUAGUCACCUAUUCAGCAGAAACAUGCACUCCACCUUGUCUUGACAUGUGGCUCCAACAAUAAGCCUCUGCAAGCAAUUUAAAUGCAAGGAAGGAUCUGGCAGUAUU
rnacentral:lncRNA from 1 species